UUGUCCUAGCAACCUGCACCUGGGUGUUUAUCUCCGCUCUACAAGUAGCAGGAACCUUAGUGCCCUGCUACAGUACCUUAAUACUUCAAU